ACGUAGGUACCGAGCGUUAUCCGGAUUUACUGGGCGUAAAGCGUGUUCAGGCGGCCUGGCAAGUCGGGCAUGAAAUCUCUCGGCUCAACCGGGAGAGGCUGUCCGAUACUGCUGGGCUUGAGGACGGUAGAGGGUGGUGGAAUUCCGCGUGUAGUGGUGAAAUGCGUAGAUAUGCGGAGGAACACCAGUGGCGAAGGCGGCCACCUGGACCGUCCCUGACGCUCAAACACGAAAGCUAGGGUAGCGAACGGGA
rnacentral:rRNA from 1 species